AUGAUUGGACAACAUGCAUACAUGGAUGUCUAUCUUUUCCUUCUACAUUUGACUGCGGAAAUAUUAGUCGAGUCACUGUUUAAUGCUUUAGCUACUGCUGCCUUUUUUAAGUUUCAAGGUUAUUGAUUUUCAGGAGAUCAAAAAUGUCGAACAACGGUGAAGAAUUCUACAAUACAUUCUACAACGCGUUCACUUCCGAAUCGUCAGAUAGAAGAGCUGAGUUGAAAGAGUAUUUAAAAGAGAUUUCGGAUAAUCUGAAAUUCGAAAACAUGUACGGAAGUCAACAAAAGCCACCAAAAUUGAUGAAAGUUGAAGAUUAUAAUUGGUGGAAAAACAGGUUUGAAGGAUGGGUGAAAGCUUUUGCUCCUGAAAGCUGGUUAAAAUUAGUAACUGAAUAUCAAGCACCAGAAAAAGCAGGAGGAGAGUUAAUCGAGGAGAAAGAUUAUACAGAAAAAGAUGUAAAGAAUGUUGUUGCUGAAUACAGAAUGAUAACUUUGAUUAAACAGUCAGUUAGAGAGGAUAUUAUUUCAUUACUUGAAC
rnacentral:lncRNA from 1 species